rnacentral:pre_miRNA from 1 species
AUUUUAGUGUAAAUAUGUCCCAUGCAAUAUUUGGGAAAUACUUAGACUAACG